rnacentral:lncRNA from 1 species
AUUCACUUCCACUGUACCACAAUGGGACCUCCAAGGCUGCGAUUGUAAAUGUACUGAUCAGGGUAGAUGUGAUUGAGAAGCUGACAUUUGAGCAGAUAUUUGAAGGCCAGGGGAUGAGCCACGUGACUCUGUAGGGAAGGUGCCAGGUAGAAGAAACAGUGCAAAGGCUCUGAGGUGGGAUUGUGCCUGGUGUGAUCAGAAAUAAUGAGGAGUCCCAUGCGUCUGAAAUGGAUUAAACAGGAUUACAGUAGGUGGUGAGGUUAGAGUGUUAGAGUAAGCAUGUGGUUAAUCGAAGGGAUUUUUGGUUAAAUUCUAGUUUGUUAGUAACGUAGAUUUAGGAGUUCUUGUGUGGAGCAACAGACUAAGGAUCUGGUGUUGUCACUGCAGUGGCUUGGGUUGCUGCUGUGGCUUGGGUUUGAUCCUUGGCUGGAAAACUUCCACAUGCUGUGAGGAUAGCUCUCCCCCAUAUAUAAAUAUAUGUAAAAUAUAGCGUUAUGUUGUUAACUAUAUUGUCAUAAUUAUUUACUUAUAUUUGCCAUAUUAAAAUGUAAUGAUUAGUAAACAUGUAAGACUAAAGGUAUGAAUCUUAAAAUUUAUUAUGAGUCAUUUUGUUUGAGGAAUAAUGAGGAAUAACUUUAAGUUCUCUAUUUUUAACGUAGUAAUUUUCAAUUCUUUACAGAAUGAUUGGGAAAAAGUGCUUCGUCAAUUUGGUGAUAAGGACCAAAAGAUCCAGAACCUUGAAGCCUUAUUACAGGAGAGUAAAGAAAAUAUUUCUUUCCUAGAAAAGGAAAGAGAAGAUUUUAUGCAAAAACUCAGGCUGGUGAAGGAGAGACCGCUGUUCUUAAUCAGUUGCAGGAAGAAAACCAUAUAUUACAGGAACAAGUAACUCAACUAAAGGCCCAGGAGAAUUUGCAUGACCAGGUGCAAGAGCAGAAGGCACUUCUUAGAGCUGCACAAGACUGUCCUCUCCCUAGAAGCCAGCAUCAAUGAAUUAAAUAAUCAAUUAAAUAAAGAAAGGAGAAGGUCUCCCA